ACUCGUCAGUUCUACUUUGUGAACACUCCUUUAAACUGGAGAGAUGCUCAGAGUGUCUGCAGACAGAACUACGCUGAUCUGGCCUCCAUAGAGAAUACAGCUGAUGUUGAUGCAGCUAUUGUUGCAUUAUCAAGUUAUACAGGGAAAGCCUGGAUUGGUCUACGCGAUGACAUGGUGAACAGUUGGAGGUGGUCUUUGAGUGACAGCAGCUUUUAUGGUGUCGGAGAGUCAACAUAUCGGAACUGGAACUCUGGCGAGCCAAACAAUUACAAUGGACGACAGUUGUGUGGCCGCUUUUAUGGUAACAACGGUUUAUGGGAUGACGAUGAUUGCUCUGUGGCACGGUCUUUUUUUUGCUAUCGAGGUGAGUUACCUUUCAGAUUUCUUUGACUUCAAAUCUGCAUUCUUCUAGACAUAUUCCUGUUCAUUUGAAAGGUUUAUUUAGUCUCCCAUUUCAAGAAGUUUGAGUUUCAGCACCAUUCAUUGUAGGUUGUUCCUGAAGCUGAAGUUCAACAGCUUUACUUCAAAACUUUUAUAGUUAUCUAUCAGAUUGUUAAAAUGAAGGAAAACAUUUCUUUGAAAUCUACUAAUUGAUCUCAAGAUCAUUUAUUCAUUUCAAGUGUCUGCUGAGCUUAUACUGAACUUGACAAACACAGAAGUGUUGACACUAGAAACUGUUAUUGAUCUUUAAUUCUGCUUCACCCAAAUCCAGCCGGUGUUCCUCUUUCUGCAAAAAACACAGCUGAUUUAUUAACAAUUGGAUGCUGUUUAAACUGAGAAAAAUCUUCAAUAACAACAAUUUUAAACCAAGAAGAUGUUUCUUUUUUUUAAUGUGCGUUGUUCUUUUAUGUAUUUGCAGGCAUGGUUGCUGGCACACCCAGUUACAUUCUCAUUACCACUCCAUUGAACUGGACAAACGCACAGAAACACUGCAGGCAGAAUUAUGUGGAUUUAGCAAGCAUACGGAAUAUUGCAGAAAAUAACAUCAUUAAAACUCUAGUAGUAGGUCGUACGGUCUGGAUUGGCCUGUAUCGCCAGAAAGUGUGGUCUGAUGGGAGCCAAUCUGUGUUUCAGUACAACAUAGUCGUUCAACAAGGCUCUACUGGAGAUCAAUGUGUUACUGUAGAGAAGCCGGGACAAUGGUCAAAUAAUGACUGCUCUUCUAAAUUUCCAUUUAUUUGUUACAAAACAGUUCCUCUGAAUGUGAAAAUCUUUACUUUUUUGAGAAGAACAGAGACUAGUGUCACUCUGCAGUGGAGUAAGGUCAUCAAUGCCAGCUAUGUGCUCCAGUUUAAUGUGCUGGAACAACAUACACAUUCAAUCUUUACUCUGUUUAUGGAAACACCAGAAGCACCGGAGUACAACUGA
rnacentral:lncRNA from 1 species